AGAGCAUCAGAGAACAGAACAUCAGAGACCAGAACAUCAGAGACCAGAGCAUCAGAGACCAGAACAUCAGAGACCAGAACAUCAGAGAACAUCUCAGACAAUACAAUCUUCAGCAUCUCAGCCAUCUCUGAACCAUGAAGACCCUGACUGCUCUACUCCUCCUGGGACUGCUCUGCUCCCUGCAUACGACGUCUGCAGGUGUCAUUAAGUUGGAAACGUCAACUGAAUGCUGUCUAAAGUUCAGCGCGAGGAUCCCUCUUCAACAAGUGGUUUCUCUCAGAACAACCUCCAGUAGCUGCCCUCGCAAAGCACUGAUUUUUACCACAAAGAAAGGGAAGACAUUUUGUGUUGACCCUUCUGAAGCCUGGGUCCAGAGUCAUGUGACCAAGAUUGAGAGCAGACGACAAUGAUGUCAUCAACCACCAUCACCCCCUAACACCUCAACCCCUUGUUGGUGCACUAUAAAGAGAAUAGGUUGCCAUUAGUGACGCAAACCUUGUCAUGCAUGUCUAUACCCUAUCUGAGAUUGGUAUAGAGGAGGUUCAAUGUAAUGUAGUAGGUUAAUAUCCUAUCUGAGAUUGGUAUAGAGGAGGUUCAAUGUAAUGUACUAGGUUAAUACCCUAUCUGAGAUUGGUAUAGAGGAGGUUCAAUGUAAUGUACUAGGUUAAUACCCUAUCUGAGAUUGGUAUAGAGGAGGUUCAAUGUAAUGUACUAGGUUAAUACCCUAUCUGAGAUUGGUAUAGAGGAGGUUCAAUGUAAUGUACUAGGUUAAUACCCUAUCUGAGAUUGGUAUAGAGGAGGUUCAAUGUAAUGUACUAGGUUAAUAUCCUAUCUGAGACUGGUAUAGAGGAGGUUCAAUGUAAUGUACUAGGUUAAUACCCUAUCUGAGAUUGGUAUAGAGGAGGUUCAAUGUAAUGUACUAGGUUAAUAUCCUAUCUGAGAUUGGUAUAGAGGAGGUUCAAUGUAAUGUACUAGGUUAAUACCCUAUCUGAGAUUGGUAUAGAGGAGGUUCAAUGUAAUGUACUAGGUUAAUACCCUAUCUGAGAUUGGUAUAGAGGAGGUGCAAUGUAAUGUACUAGGUUAAUACCCUAUCUGAGAUUGGUAUAGAGGAGGUUCAAUGUAAUGUACUAGGUUAAUACCCUAUCUGAGAUUGGUAUAGAGGAGGUUCAAUGUAAUGUACUAGGUUAAUACCCUAUCUGAGAUUGGUAUAGAGGAGGUUCAAUGUAAUGUACUAGGUUAAUAUCCUAUCUGAGAUUGGUAUAGAGGAGGUUCAAUGUAAUGUACUAGGUUAAUACCCUAUCUGAGAUUGGUAUAGAGGAGGUUCAAUGUAAUGUACUAGGUUAAUAUCCUAUCUGAGAUUGGUAUAGAGGAGGUUCAAUGCAAUGUAGUAGGUAAUACCCUAUCUGAGAUUGGUAUAGAGGAGGUUCAAUGUAAUGUACUAGGUUAAUAUCCUAUCUGAGAUUGGUAUAGAGGAGGUUCAAUGUAAUGUACUAGGUUAAUACCCUAUCUUAGAUUGGUAUAGAGGAGGUUCAAUGUAAUGUACUAGGUUAAUACCCUAUCUGAGAUUGGUAUAGAGGAGGUUCAAUGUAAUGUACUAGGUUAAUACCCUAUCUGAGAUUGGUAUAGAGGAGGUUCAAUGUAAUGUACUAGGUUAAUAUCCUAUCUGAGAUUGGUAUAGAGGAGGUUCAAUGUAAUGUACUAGGUUAAUAUCCUAUCUGAGAUUGGUAUAGAGGAGGUUCAAUGUAAUGUACUAGGUUAAUAUCCUAUCUGAGAUUGGUAUAGAGGAGGUUCAAUGUAAUGUACUAGGUUAAUACCCUAUCUGAGAUUGGUAUAGAGGAGGUUCAAUGUAAUGUACUAGGUUAAUAUCCUAUCUGAGAUUGGUAUAGAGGAGGUUCAAUGUAAUGUACUAGGUUAAUACCCUAUCUGAGAUUGGUAUAGAGGAGGUUCAAUGUAAUGUACUAGGUCAAUACCCUAUCUGAGAUUGGUAUAGAGGAGGUUCAAUGUAAGGUACUAGGUUAAUACCCUAUCUGAGAUUGGUAUAGAGGAGGUUCAAUGUAAUGUACUAGGUUAAUAUCCUAUCUGAGAUUGGUAUAGAGGAGGUUCAAUGUAAUGUACUAGGUUAAUAUCCUAUCUGAGAUUGGUAUGGAGGAGGUUCAAUGUAAUGUAGUAGGUUAAUACCCUAUCUGAGAUUGGUAUAGAGGAGGUUCAAUGUAAUGUACUAGGUUAAUAUCCUAUCUGAGAUUGGUAUAGAGGAGGUUCAAUGUAAUGUACUAGGUUAAUAUCCUAUCUGAGAUUGGUAUAGAGGAGGUUCAAUGUAAUGUACUAGGUUAAUAUCCUAUCUGAGAUUGGUAUGGAUUAGGUUCAAUGUAAUGUACUAGGUUAAUAUCCUAUCUGAGACUGGUAUAGAGGAGGUUCAAUGUAAUGUACUAGGUUAAUACCCUAUCUGAGACUGGUAUAGAGGAGGUUCAAUGUAAUGUACUAGGUUAAUACCCUAUCUGAGACUGGUAUAGAGGAGGUUCAAUGUAAUGUACUAGGUCUAGGAUAAACUAAUUGUUUAUUUUUCAAUAACUGUAAACAAAUUUGAUAUAUCCUGUGAAAGAGUGGUUCAUGUUAUUCAA